GCGCGCUUAGCUCAGUGGUAGAGCGUCUCGUUGACGUCGAGAAGGCCGUAGGUCCAAUCCCUACAGCGCGCA
rnacentral:tRNA from 1 species